GACGGAGGGCGCAAGCGUUGUCCGGAAUUACUGGGCGUAAAGCGUGCGCAGGCGGCUCGCUAAGUCCUUUGUGAAAUCCCGGGGCUCAACUCCGGAAUCGCUGAGGAUACUGGCGAGCUAGAGAACGGUAGAGGUCAACGGAAUUCCCGGUGUAGCGGUGGAAUGCGUAGAUAUCGGGAAGAACACCAGUGGCGGAGGCGGUUGACUGGGCCGUUCCUGACGCUCAAGCACGAAAGCGUGGGGAGCAAACAGG
rnacentral:misc_RNA from 1 species